UCUCGAUAGCGUAAAAGUUAACGAUAGCGUAAAUUUUGUAUGGAGUUGGAACGUUUGCCUACGUUUGCCGCUAGGGGCGCUGUUCCAACUGCACACAAAAUUGCGUUAACUUUUACGCUAUCGA
rnacentral:pre_miRNA from 9 species